rnacentral:lncRNA from 1 species
GUUCUAUUGAUUGACAGAAGAGCAGUUAACUGACAGUGGAGAGAAAAAUUGGUGGUGCUGUCAUGUGACUCAUGGCUACCUGUGUGGGAUUAACUCAGGAUAACCGUCAGAAGCUCUGAAGAUCCAAACCCUCCUUAGCAGUAGGUCUACCAAGUCACGAAAUCGUAAUAAGCAGGAGAAACAUUCCAGUCUUUUCCGCCUUCCACAGAGAACCUGUAGCCUUAUGAGGCUUUCCCUUGGGUGGGAAAAAUAUUGUGCCUGGGAAAGGGAAGUGGGAGUCAACAGACACUCAAGGAAUAGUUUCGGAGAAAAGGCUUUUUAUUUCUACCAUCCAUGAACUGGUAGAAGGAGCAAGUGUGAUAAGUCACAAAAAGCAUGCACGAGUUCACAAUCAUGUGCACAAGCAUAUAUACCCCUUUCCAGUUCCCUCCCCCUUUCUCCUCCCUCAGGAGGUCCUCUGAGCAUGAACAGAAAGCUGUCUUGGGACUAUUGUGGACUCUUGGCACCCUUCCCAGGAAAGGGGUUUCAGAGUGUUCAGAUAUAGAAUAGAAUAGAAUCAUAGAGUUGGAAGAGACCACAAGGGCCAUCGAGUCCAACCCCCUGCCAAGCAGGAAACACCAUCAGAGCACUCCUGACAUAUGGUUGUCAAGCCUCUGCUUAAAGACCUCCAAAGAAGGAGACUCCACCACACUCCUUGGCAGCAAAUUCCACUGUCAAACAGCUCUUACUGUCAGGAAGUUCUUCCUAAUGUUUAGGUGGAAUCUUCUUUCUUGUAGUUUGGAUCCAUUGCUCCGUGUCCGCUUCUCUGGAGCAGCAGAAAACAACCUUUCUCCCUCCUCUAUGUGACAUCCUUUUAUAUAUUUGAACAUGGCUAUCAUAUCACCCCUUAACCUCCUCUUCUCCAGGCUAAACAUGCCCAGCUCCCUUAGCCGUUCCUCAUAAGGCAUCGUUUCCAGGCCUUUGACCAUUUUGGUUGCUCUCCUCUGGACACGUUCCAGUUUGUCAGUGUCCUUCUUGAACUGUGGUGCCCAGAACUGGACACAGUACUCCAGGUGAGGUCUGACCAGAGCAGAAUACAGUGGCACUAUUACUUCCCUUGAUCUAGAUGCUAUACUCCUAUUGAUGCAGCCCAGAAUUGCAUUGGCUUUUUUAGCUGCCGCGUCACCCUGUUGGCUCAUGUCAAGUUUGUGGUCAACCAAGACUCCUAGAUCCUUUUCACAUGUACUGCUCUCAAGCCAGGUGUCACCCAUCUUGUAUUUGUGCCUCUCAUUUUUUUGCCCAAGUGCAAUACUUUACAUUUCUCCCUGUUAAAAUUCAUCUUGUUUGUUUUGGCCCAGUUCUCUAAUCUGUCAAGGUCGUUUUGAAGUGUGAUCCUGUCCUCUGGGGUGUUAGCCACCCCUCCCAAUUUGGUGUCAUCUGCAAAUUUGAUCAGGAUGCCCUUGAGUCCAUCAUCCAAGUCGUUGAUAAAGAUGUUGAAUAAGACCGGGCCCAAGACAGAACCCUGUGGCACCCCACUAGUCACUCUUCUCCAGGAUGAAGAGGAACCAUUGAUGAGCACCCUUUGGGUUCGGUCAGUCAGCCAGUUACAAAUCCACUGAGUGGUAGCAUAGUCAAGACCGCAUUUUACCAGCUUCUUUACAAGAAUAUCAUGAGGCACAUUGUCAAAUGCCUUGCUGAAAUCAAGGUAGGCUACAUCCACUGCGUUCCCUUCAUCUACCAGGCUUGUAAUUCUGUAAAAAAAGAGAUCAGGUUAGUCUGACAUGACUUAUUUUUCAGAAAUCCAUGCUGACUAUUGGUGAUCACAGCAUUCCUUUCUAGGUGCUCACAGACUGUUUGCUUAAUGAUCUGCUCCAGAAUCUUCCCUGGUAUUGAUGUCAGACUGACUGGGCGGUAAUUAUUUGGGUCCUCUCUUUCCCUUUUUGAAAAUAGGGACAACAUUUGCCCUCCUCCAGUCUGCCGGGACUUCGCCUGUUCUCCAGGAAUUCUCAAAGAUGACUGCCAGUGGUUCUGAGAUCACAUCUGCCAGUUCUUUUAAUACUCUUGGAUGCAGUUCAUCUGGCCCUGGAGACUUGAAUACAUCUAAACUAGCCAAGUAUUAUUGUACUAUCUCCUUAGUUAUUCUGGGCUGUGUUUCCUUUGCUGAAUCAUUUGCUCCAAAUUCUUCAGGUCGGGCAUUGUUUUCUUUAUCGGAGAAGACUGAGGCAAAGAAGGCAUUGAGGAGUUCAGCCCUUUCUGUGUCCCCUGUUUGCAUUUCACCAUCUUCUCCUCUGAGUGACCCCACUGUUUCUUUGUUCUUUCUUUUGCUACGGACAUACCCAUAAAAGCCUUUUUUGUUGCUUUUAACCUGUCUAGCAAGCCUGAGUUCAUUCUGUGCUUUAGCUUUUCUGACUUUGUGUCUACACGUGCUGGCUAUUUGUUUGAAUUCCUCUUUGGUGGUUUCCCCCCUUUUCCAUUUUUUGUACACAUCCUUUUUAAUCUUAACUCAGUUAAAAGUUCUUUAGAUAGCCACCCUGGCUUCUUUAGGCACCUUCCAUGUUUCCGUCUCAUUGGUAUUGCCUGACGUUGUCCUUUUAGUAUCUCCCUCUUAACAAACUCCCAGCCAUCAUGAACUCCCUUUCCUUUUAGUAUUACUGUCCAUGGGAUCUCACCCAGCACUUCCCUAAGUUUUAGGAAGUCGGCUUUCUUAAAGUCAAGAAAUUGAGUCCUAGUAUGCUUGGCUGCUCCUUUCCGCUGUAUAGUAAACUUCAGAAGAGCAUGAUCACUCGCGCCUAAUGAUCCUUCCACUUCUACCCCACUAACCAGGUCAUCAACAUUGGUUAGGACCAGAUCUAAAAUGGCUGUUCCUCUUGUUGCUUCUCCCACUUUCUGGACAAUGAAGUUGUCUGCAAGGCCAGUGAGGAAUCUGUUUGACCUUAUGCUCUUGGCUGAGUUUGACAUCCAACAAAUAUCCGGGUAAUUGAAGUCCCCCAUUACUACUAUCUCCCUUCCUUUUGCAUGCUUGGCCAUUUGUUCCAGGAAGGCAUCAUCUAUGUCCUCCGUUUGGCUUGGGGAUCUAUAGUAAACUCCCACAAUGAGGUCACUGUUAUUCUUCUCUCCCUUAAUUUUGACCCAAAUGCUCUCACUUUGGCUUUGAGGUUCUAAAUCUUGGAUCUCUUCACAGGUAUACACAUCCCUGACAUAUAACGCCACUCCUCCUCCUUUCUUAUCUGGUCUGUUUCUCUGAAAUAGAUUGUAUCCCCCCCCAUUAUUACAUUCCAAUCGUGGGACUUAUCCCACCAGGUUUCAGUGAUGCCUAUUAUGUCAUAUUUAGUUUGCUGUACCAAGAGCUCAAGCUCAUCUUGUUUAUUUCCUAUGCUUUGCGCAUUAGUGUACAGACAUUGAAGUCCAUUAAUCAUUCCCCCGUGUCUCUUAUUUAAGGAUUUUUUCCUCCCACCACUAGGUCUGUGUGCUGUUUGCUCCAUUUGGUCUAUGACAUUUGGAUGAUCAUCUUCAUCAAUUGAUAGACUCCUACCUUCAGGAGCACUGUCUCCCUCCCCCACAUUAGUCAGUUUAAAGCCCUCCUGAUGAGGUUUCUGAGAUAUGUUUCAAUCUCUUGUUCUGGCAUGGUUCCCGGACAGAAAGUAAGUUGCAAUGUGGUUCUUUAGCAAGGCCAGAAGGCAUGAGUAAGGCCUGAAAAUCAAUGGACUGUUCUCUACCUUGGUUACAGCAGAGCGGAAUGUUUCUGAUGCUUAACUGCUGAGAAAAUGAUUUUGAAAAGUUUUGAGAAGCUUUGAGCCUGCUUUGGUGGGGGGGGGUGACUUCGGGCCUAGGUGAGGUCACCUGUCCUCACCUUCCUUCAAACCGAUUGCCUUUCCCUGUUUCCUGAAGGACCCUUCGCAGUACGGAGACGAUGCAAACAGCAUUGAUCCCAUGCAGCGGCAUUUAAUAGUUGAAACGAAUAGCUUAAUUGUGCAGUCGUUUUCAGUGCGCGUUGGAUGGCUGGGAUUAUAGGCAGAACUAUUACAUUUUUAUGAACUCGUAAACUCUGGGAGUCCAGGCUGCAGCAUAAAGAUGCUUCCAUUUCCAGUACAGGUUAAUAAGUAACUCACACCCUUUUGUCGCUCGCCAUUUCGCCCGAAAAGUUUAUAUUGUAACGCAUUUAAAUGAACCGCUUAGUGCUGGUCUGAAGGAUUACAUCUAUGUAGACCAAUGGUUAAUAGUGAAAAAGAAAUCAAACUAAGGUGAGAUGAUUUUUUAAAAAAGUUCCUAUUGCUAGAUCGUUCUCUGCACAAAAGCCCCCGGGGAUUAGCUUUGUUUGAAGAUUAUUUGCAUUUAAAUUGCAAAGAUAUAUUACACUUCAUAUAUUUUAUGAAUGAGGUUAAAAGCUUAAAGCCAUUGCUUACAUAUUUCCUUAAACACUAAGGUUACCAAAGUGCUUUGAAUUCUGUCUCGGAGGAGAUAUCGGCCGGCGCAUUUCUCCUGAAAUGACGAAGGGCAAAGAAGAGGCAAAUUGUCCCCUCCCUACAAUGUGAGAUCAGCAAUGAGGUGUGGAUGCCACUGCCAGGGGUUAAAUAUAUUAUUUUUUAGUACUAAAGGUGGUUGGGUUGGUUUUUUUAAUGAAAUCUGUGGGAGCAAAAACCUGUCACUUGAAGUUGUGAUGGUUCAAUUGAUGUUUGAUGCCUAGUGAAAAUGGGUUAUUCCUCUCCCCCUGCCCCAGUAAAUGCUAAAUGUGUGAAUGUGGGGGGGGGGGAGAUUCUCAUCAGGAUCACAGAUGCGAUGGGAAGGUUUAAAUUGCAUCUCCUCUUAUAUGCCAAAGUCUUGAUGAGAAUUGGGUGGGGACCAUUAGACAACCAUGUUAUUGUUGUUUAGUCGUGUCCGACUCUUCGUGACCCCAUGGACCAGAGCACGCCAGGCACUCCUGUCUUCCACUGCCUCCCGCAGUUUGGUCAAACUCAUGUUGGUAGCUUCGAGAACACUGUCCAACCAUCUCAUCAUCUGUCGUCCCCUUCUCCUUGUGCCCUCAAUCUUUCCCAACAUCAGGGUCUUUUCCAGGGAGUCUUCUCUUCUCAUGAGGUGGCCAAAGUAUUGGAGCCUCAGCUUCAGGAUCUGUCCUUCCAGUGAGCACUCAGGGCUGAUUUACUUAAGAAUGGAUAGGUUUGAUCUUCUUGCAGUAAAUAAAUUCAGUGACAGAAUAUAGAGCAUGACAAUACGGCCCAAUUUCUCUCCUUCUCCCCAUUCUGUCCCAGCUUGAAAAUCUUACGUGAACUGCUGUCAAAACUCUAAAUUCCAGCCCCUGAUCUGGGAGAAGGCAUAGAUUCAUGCGAUUUUCGUGUAGCUCAGGAGCCAACGGAUUGAUGGCACCAUGUCUGUUUCAACAGGUGACAGGCGUCAAAUGCUGGUGGAGAAUUCUUGUGGGAACAGAAUGAAUUUGGCGCUUUGGGCAAGGAGGGGGCAGGUCUCAAUGCAAGAAUAAUUUGUAGCACCCCUUUUGUCCCUUUGCUUAUGUGCCAUUGUUUCAUCCACAGGGUCAUUUAAUUCCGGCAUGGAUUUCUGGGGAAGGAAGUCAAACGCGCUCCCAAAGGCGAAAAGCAUUUUGAAAUAUGGCAAAAAGGUACAUGCACCACUUACCUCACUGAUGUUGAAGUGAAAGUCUAGUUUAUGUUCCAUUGUUUCAUCAACAGGGUCACUCAAUUCUGCCACUGUUUUCUUGGAUCACAUGCUUUGUGAAUUUUAUAGCAUGUCUUUUCUUGUGGCUGUGCUGUUUAAUGUGUUUUUUGUUUUGUUAGUAGUUUUUGUUUAGUUAGUUUCUUUUAUAGAAGGUGGUUGUUUUACUGAUUUGUUAAUCGUUUUAUAUCAUUUAUAGUGCAGUAGUGAUGUUCCGCCAUGUUAUUUAUUGUAUAUAAGCAGCUUUGUGACUCGUGAGUGAAAAGUGGUGUAGAAAUAGAAUAAAUAAAAUUAAUGAAAUGAAAUUGAGUAGUCUCCACAUCAGCUUUCUCCAAUUUGCAAUGUGUCACAGUCCAGUUCAUGGGCGAUCGAAGUCCUGGCUGGGGAUGUCAGGACCAGGGGGCAAGAUGGCGGGGUGGAGGUAGGAACAGGAGUCCAGAAGCCAGGAGUCAGAAAGCCAAGAGACCGAGGGUCAGAGAGCCGGGAGUCAACAAGCCAAGGGUCCGAGGGUCAGGAAGCAAGGAGUCACAAAGUCAAGGGUCUGAGGGUCAAGAAGCAAGGAGUCACAAAGUCAGGGGUCCAAGGAUCAAGAGGCAAGGAGUCACAAAGUCAGGGGUCCAAGAAUCAAGAAGCAAGGAGUCAAACGCAGCAAGGCAGGGAACGUGUUGCUGUGGCAAAGAGCCUAAGGGAAAAUGCUGACCUUAUAUCCCUUCCUGGCUCUUGCCACCAGGUGCUGUGAGUUACCAAUCGGCCUCACUUGUGUGGCCAUGCCUUGCCUCUUCAGAACAAACUUAGGAAGGCCCCAGUCCUGCAGAGUCCUAUUGGUCACAGCGCCUGGCUCCUGCACACACACCUGACACAAUGUGACCAUGGACCCAAGAAAGGUGGUGACUCCUGUGUUGGAGUGUCAGACCAGGGAGACCAGGGUUCAAGACCCCACUAAUGCAUGAAAGCUUAAAGGUGACCUUGGUUGCUCGCUGUCUCUUAGCCUACCCUAGCUCAGAAUUUUCGUGACAAUUAAAUAAAGACCUUGAGCUCCUUGAAGGAAAAGUGUAAUAAUAAAAACAAUUGUCUUUUCUCUUCCAGGUAGAUGAUCUUAUCAUUGAAGGCUUGGGGGCAGCAGCAAGGCCAGAUUAAGGUGGCUUGGGGGCCUGAUUCAGUACUCCAGAAAGAGUUCCCCCUUCCAGCUUAAUCACAAAUUUGUGACAUUUUGGUUGAUCCUAAUAAAGGUAUCUAUAAACUUA